rnacentral:rRNA from 1 species
UUGGGAGCUCACUGGGUUCGGAGUUAUGGGAACUCCGAAAUUAAGCGAGUCUGGGCUAGAGCAAUUCAAGGAUGGGUGACCUACUGGAAAGUGCUCGUGAGUUCCUAAA